GCCGAAGUGGCGGAAUGGCAGACGCAAGGGACUUAAAAUCCCUCGGAGGAAUACUCCGUAUCGGUUCGAGUCCGAUUUUCGGCACCA
rnacentral:tRNA from 1 species